GACGAACGCUGGCGGCGUGCUUAACACAUGCAAGUCGAACGGUAAGGCCCCAGCUUGCUGGGGUACACGAGUGGCGAACGGGUGAGUAACACGUGGGUGACCUGCCCCGCACUUCGGGAUAAGCCUGGGAAACUGGGUCUAAUACCGGAUAGGACCGCACCGUGAGGGUGUGGUGUAAAGUUUUUCGGUGUGGGAUGGGCCCGCGGCCUAUCAGCUUGUUGGUGGGGUAAUGGCCUACCAAGGCGGCGACGGGUAGCCGGCCUGAGAGGGUGGACGGCCACAUUGGGACUGAGACACGGCCCAGACUCCUACGGGAGGCAGCAGUGGGGAAUAUUGCACAAUGGGCGGAAGCCUGAUGCAGCGACGCCGCGUGGGGGAUGACGGCCUUCGGGUUGUAAACUCCUUUCACCAUCGACGAAGGUUUUCUGACGGUAGAUGGAGAAGAAGCACCGGCUAACUACGUG
rnacentral:rRNA from 1 species